GUGAAUGACGGGGCAGCGGGCGGGGUGAUGCUGUGGAUGCAUGCGUUGUUCGGAAUUACUGUGCGUAAAGAGGGUGUGGGCGGGUCUCUAUGUUCGGUUGGAAAUCGCCCGGCUUAACUGGGAGGGUGCGCCGAAAACUGGAGGGCUCGAGUAUGGGAGGGGAAAGCGGAAUUCCUGGUGUAGCGGUGAAAUGCGUAGAUAUCAGGAGGAACACCUGCGGUGUAGACGGCUUUCUGGACCAUCACUGACGCUGAGACACGAAAGCGUGGGGAGCAAACAGGAUUCGAUACCCUUGUAGUC
rnacentral:rRNA from 1 species